rnacentral:rRNA from 1 species
GACGAACGCUGGCGGCGUGCUUAACACAUGCAAGUCGAACGGUGAAGCGCCUUCCUUUUUGGUGGGUGGGGAGGAGCGGCGAACGGGUGAGUAACACGUGAGUCACCUGCCCCCUUCUUCUGGAUAACCGCAUGAAAGAGUGGCUAAUACGGGAUAUUCUGGGUCGGUCGCAUGAUGGGUCUGGGACAGAUAUGGUGUCGGUGGGGGAUGGGUUCGCGGCGUAUUAGCUAGUUGGUGAGGUGAUGGCCUACCAAGGCGGCGAUGGGUAGCCGGCCUGAGAGGGUGGUCGGCGGUCACACUGCUGCUGCGAGGCGGAGAAUACUACGAGAGGCAGCAGUAGUGAAGAUUAUUCCACAAGCGGCGGAAUCAUGAUGCAGCGACGCCUCGGUAGUGAUGGUGGCCUGCGCGUUGUGAACUGCUUUCGCCAGUGAAGAAGUGCUGCAUCGUUUGUGGGUGGGUUGACGGUAGCUGAACAGGAAGCGCCGGCUAACUACGUG